GUGACUGUGCUGUGGUCAUAGACGGUCACAUACAUCAAAAGAGUUGGUUCCUGCCGACAGUCUGUAUAGUUAUCAGAUUUUCUGUGCGAUGGCUCCAUACAUU